rnacentral:rRNA from 1 species
GAUCCUGGCUCAGAGUGAACGCUGGCGGCGUGCUUAACACAUGCAAGUCGAACGAGAACGGAUUAUAGCUUUGCUAUAAUUGUCAGCUAAGUGGCGCACGGGUGAGUAAUGUAUAGGUAAUAUGCCUCUUACUAAGGGAUAACAAUUGGAAACGAUUGCUAAUACCUUAUAUUCCUUUUUAUCAAAAGAUAAAAAGGGAAAGAUUUAUUGGUAAGAGAUUAGCCUGUAUUGUAUCAGUUAAUUGGUGGGGUAAUGGCCUACCAAGACGAUGACGCAUAACUGGUUUGAGAGGAUGAUCAGUCACACUGGAACUGAGACACGGUCCAGACUCCUACGGGAGGCAGCAGUGGGGAAUAUUGCACAAUGGACGAAAGUCUGAUGCAAGCAACGCCGCGUGGAGGAUGACACAUUUCGGUGCGUAAACUCCUUUUAUAUAAGAAGAUAAUGACGGUAUUAUAUGAAUAAGCACCGGCUAACUCCGUGCCAGCCGCCGC